rnacentral:rRNA from 1 species
UACAGAGGUCUCAAGCGUUGUUCGGAUUCAUUGGGCGUAAAGGGUGCGUAGGCGGCGCGGUAAGUCGGGUGUGAAAUCUCGGAGCUUAACUCCGAAACUGCAUUCGAUACUGCCGUGCUUGAGGACUGGAGAGGAGACUGGAAUUUACGGUGUAGCGGUGAAAUGCGUAGAUAUCAGGAGGAACACCGGUGGCGAAGGCGGGUCUCUGGGCAACAACUGACGCUGAGGAGCGAAAGCGUGGGGAGCGAACAGG